UACGUAGGGUGCGAGCGUUAAUCGGAAUUACUGGGCGUAAAGCGUGCGCAGGCGGUUUUGUAAGCCCGAUGUGAAGUCCCCGGGCUUAACCUGGGAAUGGCAUUUGGGACUGCAAGGCUGGAGUAUGGCAGAGGGGACUAGAAUUCCUGGUGUAGCAGUGAAAUGCGUAGAUAUCAGGAGGAAUACCGAUGGCGAAGGCAGGUCCCUGGGCCAAUACUGACGCUCAUGCACGAAAGCGUGGGGAGCAAACAGG
rnacentral:rRNA from 1 species